AGGCAUCUUUUUGUUUUUAAAAGACCUUCUUCGGAGGGUAUGCUUAAAGAGGGGCUUGCGCCACAUUAGUUAGUUGGUGAGGUAAAGGCUUACCAAGAUUAUGAUGUGUAGCUGGACUGAGAGGUUGAACAGCCACAUUGGGACUGAGACACGGCCCAAACUCCUACGGGAGGCAGCAGUAGGGAAUUUUCGGCAAUGGAGGAAACUCUGACCGAGCGACGCCGCGUGAACGAUGAAGUAUUUCGGUAUGUAAAGUUCUUUUAUUGAAGAAGAAAAAAUAGUGGAAAAACUAUAUUGACGUUAUUCAAUGAAUAAGCCCCGGCUAACUAUGUGCCAGCAGCCGCGGUAAGACAUAGGGGGCGAGCGUUAUCCGGAAUUAUUGGGCGUAAAGGGUGCGUAGGCGGUUAGAUAAGUCUAUAAUUUAAUUUCAGUGCUUAACGCUGUCUUGUUAUAGAAACUGUCUUGACUAGAGUGAGAUAGAGGCAAGCGGAAUUCCAUGUGUAGCGGUAAAAUGUGUAAAUAUAUGGAGGAACACCAGAAGCGUAGGCGGCUUGCUGGGUCUUUACUGACGCUGAGGCACGAAAGCGUGGGGAGCAAACAGGAUUAGAUACCCUGGUAGUCCACGCUGUAAACGAUGAGUACUAAGUGUCGGGGAAACUCGGUACUGAAGUUAACACAUUAAGUACUCCGCCUGAGUAGUACGUACGCAAGUAUGAAACUUAAAGGAAUUGACGGGACUCCGCACAAGCGGUGGAUCAUGUUGUUUAAUUCGAAGAUACACGAAAAACCUUACCAGGUCUUGACAUACUCUGCAAAGCUAUAGAAAUAUAGUGGAGGUUAUCAGGGAUACAGGUGGUGCAUGGUUGUCGUCAGUUCGUGUCGUGAGAUGUUAGGUUAAGUCCUAAAACGAACGCAACCCCUGUCGUUAGUUGCCAGCACGUAAUGGUGGGGACUUUAGCGAGACUGCCAAUUAAACAUUGGAGGAAGGUGGGGAUAACGUCAAAUCAUCAUGCCCCUUAUGAUCUGGGCUACAAACGUGAUACAAUGGCUAUUACAAAGAGUAGCUGAAACGCGAGUUUUUAGCCAAUCUCAAAAAGGUAGUCUCAGUACGGAUUGAAGUCUGCAACUCGACUUCAUGAAGCUGGAAUCGCUAGUAAUCGCGAAUCAGCAUGUCGCGGUGAAUACGUUCUCGGGGU
rnacentral:rRNA from 1 species